UACAGAGGGUGCGAGCGUUGUCCGGAAUCACUGGGCGUAAAGGGCGCGUAGGCGGUUGGGUAAGCGUGUGGUGAAAGCUCGGGGCUCAACCCCGAGUCGGCCGUGCGAACUGCUCGACUGGAGCAUGUCAGAGGCAGGCGGAAUUCCGGGUGUAGCGGUGGAAUGCGUAGAGAUCCGGAAGAACAUCGGUGGCGAAGGCGGCCUGCUGGGCAGUAGCUGACGCUGAGGCGCGACAGCGUGGGGAGCAAACAGG
rnacentral:rRNA from 1 species